GCGCGCGUGGCUCAGUGGUAGAGCGUCUCCAUGACACGGAGAAGGUCGGAGGUUCGAUCCCUCCCGCGCGCACCA
rnacentral:tRNA from 1 species